GAUGAAUGCUGGCGGCGUGCCUAACACAUGCAAGUCGAGCGGCAGCGAGGGGUGCUUGCACCCUGUCGGCGAGCGGCGAACGGCUGAGUAACGCGUAGGAAUUUGCCCCAAAGUGAGGAAUAACUGCCCGAAAGGGUAGCUAAUGCCGCAUAUGGUCUUCGGAUUAAAGGAUUUAUCCGCUUUGGGAGAAGCCUGCGUUGGAUUAGGUUGUUGGUAGGGUAAUGGCCUACCAAGCCGACGAUCCAUAGCUGGUCUGAGAGGAUGAUCAGCCAGACUGGAACUGAGACACGGUCCAGACUCCUACGGGAGGCAGCAGUGAGGAAUCUUCCACAAUGGGCGAAAGCCUGAUGGAGCAACGCCGCGUGAAGGAUGAAGGCCUUCGGGUUGUAAACUUCUUUUAUGAGUGAAGAAUAUGACGGUAACUCAUGAAUAAGCACCGGCUAACUACGUA
rnacentral:rRNA from 1 species